rnacentral:rRNA from 1 species
UACGAAGGGGGCUAGCGUUGUUCGGAAUUACUGGGCGUAAAGCGCACGUAGGCGGCGCAGCAAGUUUGGGGUGAAAUCCCGAGGCUCAACCUCGGAAUUGCCUUCAAAACUGCUGUGCUCGAGUUCGGAAGAGGUGAGUGGAAUUCCCAGUGUAGAGGUGAAAUUCGUAGAGAUUGGGAAGAACACCAGUGGCGAAGGCGGCUCACUGGCCCGGUACUGACGCUGAGGCGCGAAAGCGUGGGGAGCAAACAGG